rnacentral:rRNA from 1 species
UACGUAGGGUCCGAGCGUUGUCCGGAAUUACUGGGCGUAAAGAGCUCGUAGGUGGUUUGUCGCGUUGUUCGUGAAAACUCACAGCUCAACUGUGGGCGUGCGGGCGAUACGGGCAGACUAGAGUACUGCAGGGGAGACUGGAAUUCCUGGUGUAGCGGUGGAAUGCGCAGAUAUCAGGAGGAACACCGGUGGCGAAGGCGGGUCUCUGGGCAGUUACUGACGCUGAGGAGCGAAAAGCAUGGGGAGCGAACAGG